AUUGAACGCUGGCGGCAGGCCUAACACAUGCAAGUCGAGCGGAUGAAGGGAGCUUGCUCCUGGAUUCAGCGGCGGACGGGUGAGUAAUGCCUAGGAAUCUGCCUGGUAGUGGGGGAUAACGUCCGGAAACGGGCGCUAACACCGCAUACGUCCUGAGGGAGAAAGUGGGGGAUCUUCGGACCUCACGCUAUCAGAUGAGCCUAGGUCGGAUUAGCUAGUUGGUGGGGUAAGGGCCUACCAAGGCGACGAUCCGUAACUGGUCUGAGAGGAUGAUCAGUCACACUGGAACUGAGACACGGUCCAGACUCCUACGGGAGGCAGCAGUGGGGAAUAUUGGACAAUGGGCGAAAGCCUGAUCCAGCCAUGCCGCGCGUGUGAAGAAGGUCUUCGGAUUGUAAAGCACUUUAAGUUGGGAGGAAGGGCAGUAAGUUAAUACCUUGCUGUUUUGACGUUACCAACAGAAUAAGCACCGGCUAACUUCGUG
rnacentral:rRNA from 1 species